UCAAAAUCAAUGAUGAAGAGAGUAGUUAUGAUGAUGGAUUAAAGCGAGUUAGGGAUGGUGAAAGCCUAAUGGAUGUCUCAUAAUGAAGCGCACUUCGGAGAUGCAGCCUGAAAAUAUUAGGGUGUAGUCGGGGGAACCCGUUAUUAAUCUGUAAGAAGGUUCCUUUGGGAACAAUAAGAGUGGUACCGCGGGAAAUCUCGUCUCUAAU
rnacentral:ncRNA from 1 species